rnacentral:rRNA from 1 species
GGGGAAUAUUGCACAAUGGGCGAAAGCCUGAUGCAGCGACGCCGCGUGCGGGAUGAAGGCCUUCGGGUUGUAAACCGCUUUUGAUUGGGGAGCAAGCGAGAGUGAGUGUACCUUUCGAAUAAGCACCGGCUAACUACGUGCCAGCAGCCGCGGUAAUACGUAGGGUGCAAGCGUUAUCCGGAAUUAUUGGGCGUAAAGAGCUCGUAGGCGGUUUGUCGCGUCUGGUGUGAAAGUCCAUCGCUUAACGGUGGAUCUGCGCCGGGUACGGGGCAGGCUAGAGUGCGACAGGGGGAGACUGGAAU